rnacentral:misc_RNA from 1 species
GAUGAAGAACGUAGUGAAAUGCGAUACUUGGUGUGAAUUGCAGAAUCCCGUGAACCAUCGAGUCUUUGAACGCAAGUUGCGCCCGAAGCCAUCAGGUUGAGGGCACGUCUGCCUGGGCGUCACAUAUCGUUGCCCAAUGCCUAUUGCAGUGCAAUAGGAAUUUCUAGGGCGAAUGAUGGCUUCCCGUGAGCGUUGUUGCCUCGCGGUUGGUUGAAAAUCGAGUCCUUGGUAGGGUGUGCCAUGGUAGAUGGUGGUCGAGUUAGAACGAUACCGAUCAUGUGCAUGCUCCCCAAAAUAUGGCCUCUAUGACCCACACGCGUCUUUUGACGCUCAUGACGAGACCUCAGGUCAGGCGGGGCUACCCGCUGAAUUUAAGCAUAUCAAUAAGCGGAGG